GACGGAAGGUGCAAGCGUUGCUCGGAAUCACUGGGCGUAAAGGGUGCGUAGGCGGCCGCGCAAGUCUGGCGUGAAAGCCCCGGGCUCAGCCCGGGAAGGGCGCUCGAAACGGCGCGGCUCGAGUGCCGGAGGGGAGAGUGGAAUUCCUGGUGUAGAGGUGAAAUUCGUAGAUAUCAGGAGGAACACCGGUGGCGAAGGCGACUUCCUGGACACCAACUGACGCUGAGACGCGAAAGCGUGGGGAGCAAACAGG
rnacentral:rRNA from 1 species